rnacentral:rRNA from 1 species
GACGAACCGUCCUAACGUUGUUCGGAAUUACUGGGCGUAAAGGGCGCGUAGGCGGCCUGUUAAGUCGAACGUGAAAUCCCCGGGCUCAACCCGGGAACUGCGUCCGAUACUGGCAGGCUUGAAUCCGGGAGAGGGAUGCGGAAUUCCAGGUGUAGCGGUGAAAUGCGUAGAUAUCUGGAGGAACACCGGUGGCGAAGGCGGCAUCCUGGACCGGCAUUGACGCUGAGGCGCGAAAGCCAGGGGAGCAAACGGG